rnacentral:rRNA from 1 species
UACGUAGGUGGCAAGCGUUGUCCGGAAUUAUUGGGCGUAAAGCGCGCGCAGGCGGUCCUUUAAGUCUGAUGUGAAAGCCCACGGCUCAACCGUGGAGGGUCAUUGGAAACUGGGGGACUUGAGUGCAGAAGAGGAAAGCGGAAUUCCACGUGUAGCGGUGAAAUGCGUAGAGAUGUGGAGGAACACCAGUGGCGAAGGCGGCUUUCUGGUCUGUAACUGACGCUGAGGCGCGAAAGUGUGGGGAGCAAACAGG